rnacentral:rRNA from 1 species
AGCGGCGGACGGGUGAGUAACACGUGGGCAACCUGCCUGUAAGACUGGGAUAACUUCGGGAAACCGGAGCUAAUACCGGAUAGUAUUUCCUUUCUCCUGAUUGGAAAUGGAAAGACGGUUUCGGCUGUCACUUACAGAUGGGCCCGCGGUGCAUUAGCUAGUUGGUGGGGUAAUGGCCCACCAAGGCGACGAUGCAUAGCCGACCUGAGAGGGUGAUCGGCCACACUGGGACUGAGACACGGCCCAGACUCCUACGGGAGGCAGCAGUAGGGAAUCUUCCGCAAUGGACGAAAGUCUGACGGAGCAACGCCGCGUGAGCGAUGAAGGCCUUCGGGUCGUAAAGCUCUGUUGUUAGGGAAGAACAAGUACGAGAGUAACUGCUCGUACCUUGACGGUACCUAACCAGAAAGCCCCGGCUAACUACGUGCCAGCAGCCGCGGUAAUACGUAGGGGGCAAGCGUUGUCCGGAAUUAUUGGGCGUAAAGGGCUCGUAGGCGGUUUCUUAAGUCUGAUGUGAAAGCCCACAGCUCAACUGUGGAGGGUCAUUGGAAACUGGGGAACUUGAGUGCAGAAGAGGAGAGUGGAAUUCCACGUGUAGCGGUGAAAUGCGUAGAUAUGUGGAGGAACACCAGUGGCGAAGGCGACUCUCUGGUCUGUAACUGACGCUGAGGAGCGAAAGCGUGGGGAGCAAACAGGAUUAGAUACCCUGGUAGUCCACGCCGUAAACGAUGAGUGCUAGGUGUUAGGGGGUUUCCGCCCCUUAGUGCUGAAGUUAACGCAUUAA